ACUGUUUUGUUUUUCACUAAAAGUUGAGGACUUAAGGCGUUCUAGCAACCGGAAAUGUUGAGCUGAAAGUCGAAAGUAGUUUUUUCUAUUGGCUGCAGAGGAGGAGGAUCAGAGAAGCACCGAUCACAGGAGAGAGCUGCAGUCUCCUCCGACUGUCACAUUUACAGCGUUCAUUUCACUCGCAGAGGACUGAAAAGAACGAAACUUUGCCUUGUUUUUUUUGUUUGGAGGCGACAGGAAACCUCGAACCCUCCAGCCAAACAAACGAAAACAAGUCCAGAUGUUUCAUGUCUGAGGGUCGCUGUCAUACGAGACCAGACCAGAGGACUCAUCCAGCUCUUCAUCCGAGAUCUCGCUUCAUAUUUGAGGCAGGACUAAAUUGGGCUGGCUGGUGAGAAUGGAGCUGAAGGCUUUAGUUGGAGGUGUUUUCCUGAGUUUGCUUGUUCUCUGGAAUGUUUGUGACUGUGUUCAAACUCAUCGGGACGCGACCGAGACCGAGACCGUAAUCAACCUCUUGGAGGCUCUUAACGUCACUCGCUUUACCCGCGGGGUGACUAAGGUCAAAGGUCAUGACCCAAAGACGCCGGCCUGGCGUUUCCGUUCCAACACGCCUCAUCUCAAACUACCCCACACAUUUUUGGACUACCUCUUCAACAGCUCACAGGGCGUCCUGGGUUUUCACCUGGUGGGCCGUCAGAAUAAAGGCUCGGAGGCCACACUCAUCUCCUUCACCUCCUCUACCUUCCUGAAGAAUGGCGAUGGCCCCCUGCUGGAGCUCGUCUCCAACACAAAAGCAGACUGGCUGCAGCUGGAGUUCAGGUCAGCACACGGCCUGCGGCCUGCGGUGCUAAGGUUGCCCGGCGGGAGUCCCUUUACGAGCAGAGGUUGGGUGAGAAUGGCUCUGAGUGUGGAGCCCAGGCAGAUGGUGCUGUAUGUGGACUGCCAGGAUGCCGUGGUGCUCAAACUGAAAGAAGGGGGACGAAUCCUGACUCUGGACUUCCCACGUGAUCUGCAGGUUACCUUCUCCAGCACUGCAGGAAAAAAGACCAGCAAAUUCAGUGGUGGUUGGCAGACGGCUGAACUCUCCACCAGGGCAUAUGAGAGUCGUCCGUGGUUCUGUGACAAUGUAACAGACUCCCUUCCAGACACAGUCCUUCGCAUCAGUCCCUCCGCAAACUAUAACCUAGAUAUGAUGCUAGAUCAGGGAGACCGUGGGGAUGGCAUAGUAUCAGCUACAAGAUACCCCAUUGAAUCAAACAUUCGUCUUGGCCAACUGGAGGACAACCUGAAUAACAUCAAGACCAUGCUGGACAUGCUGAAGAGACAGAACACGGCCCUGCAGGCGAGAGUUGACUACCUGGAAACGUGUGAGUGUUCGAAACGGAAGUGCGUGUGGGAGGGACGUGACAUGGAUGAGGGGUCCCGCUGGUCUCCUGACAGCAACACCGUCUGUUACUGCACCCAUGGGAAAGUUCAGUGCGACCGCUUCAAUGAAUGCAGCUUUCAUGGCAAUAUCUAUAGCAAUGGGGAUGUCUUUAGCCCAGACGACUGCAACCGCUGUACAUGUGAACAUGGCAGAGUAGAGUGUAAUGUGAAUCCAUGUCCAUCACAGUCCUGUCAGCAACCACCCACUCCUCAGACAACAUGCUGCCCUGCCUGCCAAACAAGAUGUGAACAUGAGGGUGAAAUCUAUGAGGACGGGAAGCAGUUUGUGUCGAGAUCAAACCCUUGCCUCAAGUGCAGCUGCUCUAAUGGUCAGGUGUCAUGUGAACCCAUCCAGUGUCCCUGCUGCAACUUUGAGGGGCAGGUUAUUCUAGACGGCGUCUCUGUUCAACCCUCCCAUGACCCCUGCAAACGCUGUGUGUGCAAUUCAGGGAAUAUAGUCUGUAACACUGAGACGUGUCCUGAAAUUGCCUGUAAUUUGGUGGAGACUGUAGGUGGGCAGUGCUGUCCCAGGUGUCGAAGUUGUGUCCAGGACAAUGUGCGGCACCAACACGGCUCUCAGUGGAAGCUUACUAAUGACCCCUGCACGACCUGUACAUGCACGGAGGGUCUGGUUCAGUGUGAGAGUGAGCGAUGUAAUAUCCGCUGUAAAAACCCAGCCUCUCCUCCUCCUGGAUCCUGCUGUCCUGUCUGUGACGGUUGCAGUUUGAAUGGAGUAGACAUCCCGAACGGGAUGACUCUGCCGUCAGGACGCACAUGUGAUCCCACGUGUAUAUGUGAGGUAAGUUGCGUAAGAAUCUGCUUUGCAACUUUUGUUUGUUCAUAAAUUCUACUUACUUUUUGUUUUAUCGUAUUUUAUUUUAUUCAGUA
ensembl:lncRNA